GGCGAACGCUGGCGGCGUGCCUAAUACAUGCAAGUAGAACGCUGAAGGAGGAGCUUGCUUCUCCGGAUGAGUUGCGAACGGGUGAGUAACGCGUAGGUAACCUGCCUGGUAGCGGGGGAUAACUAUUGGAAACGUUAGCUAAUACCGCAUAACAGUAGAUGUUGCAUGACAUUUGCUUAAAAGGUGCAAUUGCAUCACUACCAGAUGGACCUGCGUUGUAUUAGCUAGUUGGUGAGGUAACGGCUCACCAAGGCGACGAUACAUAGCCGACCUGAGAGGGUGAUCGGCCACACUGGGACUGAGACACGGCCCAGACUCCUACGGGAGGCAGCAGUAGGGAAUCUUCGGCAAUGGACGGAAGUCUGACCGAGCAACGCCGCGUGAGUGAAGAAGGUUUUCGGAUCGUAAAGCUCUGUUGUAAGAGAAGAACGAGUGUGAGAGUGGAAAGUUCACACUGUGACGGUAUCUUACCAGAAAGGGACGGCUAACUACGUG
rnacentral:rRNA from 1 species